CCCAGGUGACAUCUAGUAUUACUGAACUGGAAUAUCACACAUAUACUUUUAAAAAUAAGCUAACAUUUGAAAAUUGCUUUUAGGCUAGGGUUUAGACAUUCUGGACCUAGCUGGGUCCUAAAAAUGCAAAUUUGUCUUCUCCUUUCAUGCUAUCAAGUCCCUCCUCUGUUCCAACCUAUAUUUCUUUUGAAUGUGCUUGAGUCCUUAAUUUAAGACUUGGCUCCCUAUUUCUUCCCUCUCCCAUCCCUCAUCACAUGCCCAUCACGCCCCAAGUUCCUGCCUCUCACAGCUGCCACAUGUCUCAAACUAAGGGCAAAGGUCUUAGCUUAGUCUCUACUUUGAAAUAAGAGCAACCCCUCCACUCUGCAGCUGUUUCCUCUUUGGUCACCCUUUGCACCUUCAGAGGAGAGUUCUGCCCUCCUAGGGAUAUGAACAGGUAAAUUGGGUAUAUGGUCAGGCACCACACAAUAAUCUGGUCAGGAAAGUGGUCCUGAUGGACUGAAAAGGCCUGCAGGGUGCUAAACAAUCCCUUGGGUUUUCUUUUUCCUUAAUCUAAGACUGGCUGUGUCAGUGUACUUGGCUAUUUACAAACAGAAUCUAUCAAUCUUGUGCAUAGUAAGUCUGAAUUAAAUGGCACUGCACAACUUAUCACACACACUAUAUAGCAGAAUAACAGUGCACAAUACACUGUCUUAUCUAUGCACUCUCAUAUUACCUUUUUAUCUUGUGGCUCUCAGCAUAGUCAUCUAAGCCCUUACAGGUGUAUCAAUGUGAGCAGCAAAGUCCCUCAUGGAGCAUCACUUAACAGCACCUCACUCCUCAGUAAAUGAAAUAUUCUAAUUACAGGGGAACUUCAGUUGGAGAAAAGAAACUUCGAACUUUUAGGUGCAAAACCUCAUAACAACACCGAGUGCAGAAAACAAUCCUGCCACGACUAAACAACGUGUAAAUUCUAAAUGCCAGAGAGAUCUCCACUGGUGCAGAUUUUUGAGAAAAGAGGAGACCUGUGUGCAACACCCAUGUGUCAACAUUUUAUUUCUCUUGAAAAAUUCUAAAAUAAACUUAAAACUUGUGCAGAGCAUCAGACCUGGCAGUGCUGAGUUUCUUCAAUUAGCUUUGAGUCAGGAUGUCGUGAAGAAUGCUGGUGCUCCAAGUCUAACCCAUCCAGGCAAGCCACUUUUUAGGAGGGGGAACCCUUGCAGUAAAGUAAGCAUCUGCACAUGAUGGAUGAUCUCAAGCCUCAGGUCGUUCCAUUUCACAGACACCAUCAAAAUGCCAUCAGUCAUGGCAGUUUUCAGUCAUGACAUCAAUCAAAGCCAUACUUUAGUAAAUUUUAGCAGAAACAAUUUGCAUCCUGAAUUAUCAGAUCUCUGCCUCUCAGUACUUAUGAUACUGUCGCAUUUUUCACUGAAUUGCUUUGGAAAGAGCAAAUGUAAAAGUUCCUGGAAGUGAAAUGAAUUUGUGAUGGCUUAUGCUUAGACAGUAACUUCUAGCAAUACUCUGCAAGAAUUUAUGGCUGAAACUAAUGUUUCUAUCUGGUUAAAACAGUAACUAGCAAACAAUUUUCAGUUUAGAGUGGCUGUCCUAAGCUCUCAUUCAAAUAGGAAGAAAGCUUGGAUUUCAGCCUUUUUUGGAAAGAAGAAAAUAAAUCUAAGCGACUCUUCAAGUUUUAUAGCGUUCAGAAAAAAGAGAGUUUUUCAUGUGAAGAUCAGAAUCAAAUGUAAGAAGCAUUGCAGAAGGUAAAUUUUGGAAAAUAUGCUUUUUCUAUGUCCUGCAGACAGGAUAAGCAGGGACAUAAAAGACAUAAAGAUGAGGAUUUCAUGCUGAAAGACCAUAGAAAAAUCCUGCCUUGUGCCUUAAGCAGGACAGGAAGUUUCAGACCCUUCCCAGAAACUGGACAACCUCAUAUGUUUCUCAUUUAAGAAAGUGAAGUUUGUUUUUAUUUCCAAGCACCACAGAAUUCAGUAGGCACCAUGAGCAUGUGAUAAGGUAUCAGUAGGUCUGACCAAACUGCUAGCUACCUCCACCUCUGAAUUUUGGGACCAAUUAAUUAGAUCUACUUUUCUAACUCAGAUCCUCCUAUACAAAAGACCAUGUCAUAGCUGAAGUGUUGGCACAGAGCUGCUUGGCUACUGCUAUGGACUAAGGAAUUUGUUUGAAACUUCUGUUCUUGGGGAUGGAAAUGUCAAUUCAUACCCAAAAGUAUUAAGAAAAAUUAAAAAAAAAAUUGGAAGUAAGUGCUCACAAAUCCAAUAGCAUAUGCUCAAAUCUAACAUCAUUAUGAAUGCCUUUGGCUGUAGGUUCUUUCUGGUUUAUAACUUAAAAAUUAACAACCUGUAAAGACAUAGCAACACACAUGCAGAGCUUUAAAUAAUUUGGUAUGCUGCAUUCCAUUUUUGUAGGUUUUAUAGUUCUUUGCAACGUAUUCUAUAGCAUAUCAUUACAUAAAUUCCUAAUUGAAUGUAAUUCCUGAACUAAACAGUCUUUUUUUGAAGUUAAACUUGAUAUCAUAUUUUCUUGAAAGCUGUCAUCGUAAAAAUAUAGUGGUGUUUCAAUUUAGCUGAGAUAUAUCAAAAAAAGGAAGAGCCCUGUGCUCAAUCUUAAUGUGUUUUUCAAGGUCUACUGAUGUUUUCUAUAUUUGUUUUUAGCUUGUAAAAGGAAAAUGAGAUAGAAAAAGAAAGUUGAGCUGGGUGAGCGAUUCAUAAAAUUAGUUUGAACCUGCCUAAACAGGAAUUCUAUGCAUCCAAAACCUCAUUUUUCUACUAAAUGUUCAAGUCUGACUUUCAGCUACACUACUCCUCUUUGCCUUACCCUGUCACUCUAAAAUAUUGUUAUUCUUUGUGUGAUUACAGAAAAUAAAAUAUUUCCUUAUUAAUACAGCAGUUUUUCUUUCACAUUACUUGAAAGGAAACUACAAUGAUCUGAAAGCAGUAUGAGAGAGACCAGGCUUGUUUGCCUCUUGGUAGCUAAAAUUACAGAAGGAUGGUUGCAGAUGGCAAAGAGAGUACUGACAACCUCAGUUCUGUUCCUCCUCCUGCUCACAAGAGCCAAGCUACACAGUUUCCAAAGGCGCUGCAAUCUCCUGGUACUCAACUACCCUAAAAAUUCAGGAGUCCUUUCUGAGCUCAACUCACCAUUUUUAAAAUCCUCUCUUAACAAAGCAGUGCCACAAGCAAUAUGAGCUGGCAGUGUGACUACAGAAACCACGAGAAGCUGCCUGUGGAGAUCACCCCCACAGGAGAAAUCCCUGCAGCUUUUCAGGGAGAUCUGAAUCUGCCUGCACUGUUUGGCCAACAUUGUCCACUUCCCAGAACUCUUUAUUGGUCCUUUUAUCAGAGCUAACAUUCACUUUUUUUUUUUAAGAUGUUUACCAAACAUAUAAAAUUUCUCAAACAUUUAUAUUCUAGGAUUUUCAGUUGCCUUGCCAGACUUCAUGAGGAAGAUGACAGGACAAGGGCUACUGCUUACAGAUUAAAAGAAUGUCAAUUUAGAUUAAGAUAUAAGGAAAAAAAAAAUAUGAUCAGAGUGGUGAAACUGAACAGGUUGCCCUGAGAAGUGGUGGGUGCCUCAUCCCUGGAGGUGUUCACAGUCAGGCUGGAUGGGGCACUGAGCAACCUGGUCUUGCUGAAGAUGCCUCUGUUCCUUGCAAGGGAGCUGGAACUAGAUGAUCAUUAUGGCUCCUAAACCAAACUGUUCUAUGACUCUGUGAUAUGUGUAAAAACUGUUCUUAUAAGUGCUGCACCUGAGACAGCAGAGAAAAUGCUUAUCAUCAUUAUUUUUAAACAGAGAGAAAUAAGAAAACACUAUUAGAUAAUAGAGGUUUAAUAAAAUUAAGCAGAAGAUUAAUUCAUUAUAUUAGUGUUCUGUAAAUAAGCAUGGCUGUUCAAGUGUUAAAAUAAAAUCUACAUAAAUAGAAGGAAAGGUGGCUAAGAAAUCUUUUGUUCCAAUUCAAAUGCACAAAAAGAUUCCUUUGAUGCUGAUGAAGGAAAAGGUUUCAAAGAUAUGGUGAGGGAUAUAUAAUAUUCUCCUACUGUCCAGCAGACUUUGGACAAAGUGGCUUAUCAGAGCAUGAAGGACACUGAGGCACUGAGAAUAUAGCUAAAUUAUGCUGGUGUUUUCUUCCAGUGUUGAUUGAUCUUGCCAUUAAUUCCUAAAAUAAUUCUGAAAAUCUAAAAUAAUGCCAGCAGCAGGCAGCGAAACUGCCCAAAAGAAAGCCAAGGACCCAAAUCAAAGCCUUUGGCAGCUCACUGGACACCUCAGCCUUACUUUGGACAGCUUGAGGACAAAUGUUUCUUAUGAAAACCUUUUCAGUAACUUGUCUCUCCUGAUAUUUUGAUAUUUAAUAAAGAGCAUUCAGACUUAAUGGAAGGGAAGUGUUCCAGGCUUUCCAGCUCUGUUUGUGAAAAACAGAAGAAUCCACACUUUGAAUUCUGAGGCUGGGACUAGAAAAGUUUACUAAACUGAGUCAGAUGAGAAUUUUAUCCUAACUAGUUCGCAAGUUUUGCAUCAAAGAACAUCUGCUAAAGGCAGCAUAAAGCAUUCAUGGCAAGAUCAGGGAGAAUGACAAGCACGCUGGUAAUUCAUCACUGACAGAGCAGUGACGGCUCCUAGUCCUACAGUCUCACCACAUUUCCAAAAGGAAGCAGGUGGAUAUAAACCAGCAAAGAGUCUGAAAGUAAAUCCUGGGAGGGAUCACAUGCACUGACUGUCCAGCCCUCAAGCUACCAAGUUACCCAGGAUAACAACAUGGAAAUGGUUCUGCAAAAGGACUUGAGCCAACUUUAAACAAUGAUGGAUAAGUCCACCUGCUCACUCGCCAAGAGACUCCCUCCACAUAUGCAACCUGCCAGCAGAUUUAACAAUCUAAAAGAAAACCUGACCCAUGGCUAUGGUAUUUGGGAAAGCACCAAAGCAGUCCAUCCCUCUUCUGUCAUCAGCAAACAAUAAGACACAAAAGAAGAGAUGCUACAUGACUGUGCAAGUCCUUCAGGAUUGUGUUCUUACUCUCCAAAACCCUUAGGAAAAGACAAUCAUCUGACAUGCAAGCACUCAACACUUCACAUUAAGAACCUACCUAAAAAAUUAUUUUAGUCAAAGGUGAUUUUUGCCAUCUUUCCUACUGGCAAAAUGUCAAACAUGCCUGCUGUGCUCCCAGAAAGUGAUGAGCAUGAGUGUGAGAAAGAGAGAGAGAAUGACAGAAAGAGAAAUACAGAAAAGACUGGGCAACUUAAGUUGUUCUCAUUAACUGAAGAAGGUGUAGGCUCCUCUGGGGUAUUACUGGGAAAAUGGUAACCUCAGAGGCAGCAAGAAUGUCUCAGUUCUCCUGUGACUAACAACGGGCACCUGGCCAAGCUGCCAUCUCUUGUCCAAGCCCAGAUCUGCAUAUCCAUGCUCUGAAGAGAAGCUGAAUUCCACCUGCAUUCCUGAAGAGAACUCUGAUUAUGCAAACCCUUUGCUUUUUUAUAAAAUACAAAGAAAAUAUAAGCUUGAAUCUUGCUAUGACUGAAGUCUGCUGACUAUAAGCACAGGGGAAAGAACAUGAACGGUGUCUUCUUCCAGCCUUGAGUUUGCUCCAGUCUGGGCUGUAUAUGUCCCUUUCGGAAUUAUGGCACUUCAGAACAGAUAUACUGAAUAUUCACUGAAUAUGCACUGGAGUUGACAUGAAGUUAUUCAGAUAAUUAGUUGCCAGAUCACUUAUUUAGCACAGGGUGAAUAUUAAAAUACACAGUCUGCAGAAAUUUGAAGUAAAACCCUGCAGUUUUUUAGCAGUAAAGCUUUUGACAAAUGCCCAGUGCUUCUUCUUAAACACUAAUAAUGUUUCAUUGAAGCUUUUUGGUACCUAGAUGGACCAGAAAGGAAUUUCUUUAAAAUAGAAGAAAAUUAUGAUACUUAUUAGCUAGCAAAGUUCUAAAAAAUCAAUCCUGCCUUCUCAAAGUCAUGACUUCUUGAUACAAAAAAAUGAAACCUUUUAAAUAAUAUUGAUUGCUAUUGUUAAACUGUGAAAGAACAGAUUAUCUACUCAUGCAAAUAAGGAGGAAAAUAAUGUCCAAAUUCAGAAGAGUUAUACAAAGAACAAUUCUACCCUACUGUAAGAGGUUACAAGGAAUAAGUCAUUUAUAUGUUUUUUUCAUUAUUCUUUCUGCAAAAAGAAAUCAAGCAAUGUGCUACAUCAUGAAGACUGUAUGACAGCAACUUCUUUGCUAAAAAUAUACCAGGGACUGCUGUGGGGCUUAGAUUGCCUGAUAUUUUCCUCUAGAACUCAGACAGAAUUGUAUCCUUGCAAUGAUUCUAGAUUAGGGUGACUGACUUGUCCUCCAGCAGAAAAAGGUUGAAGAAACUAGACUUUGGGAGAGCUGGAGAAUGUUCCAUAGGGUUCAGUAAGUGAAAUGCUCUGUACAAGGCAGGAUUAACCACGGAGGGUGACUGGCUGAGUAACAGCCCUGCUGGAGAGGACCAAGCACAAUGAUGGAUAUUGAGUUGCAAAUAAUUUGCAAACAAAGCAAAAUGUACUCAAGGCUUUCAAAAGAGAAAUUUGGGGAACUGAGAUCUUAGGCCAGGAUCAGUUGUUACUGCUCUCCCCCACCUCCACUUGGUGCUGGUGAAGGUUAACAAUGGAACUCUGUGCCCAGUUUCUGAUCCGGGACAGAGCCCAGCUCAAGGCCAAGAUGGUCCAGGACCCAGGGCACGGGACACGGACACCUGAGCCUGCUUGGUCUGGGAAGGGAAGGCUCAGGGAUGAGCUCAAACAUCCUAUGACCUGAAGGGGAUUUACAAAGGUGACAGAGCCAAAUUCUCCAUGGCAGGAAAAUAAGAAAGGACAAGGCUGUUUUGAUGACAUCCUUGGCUACACAUCCAUGCUGGCCUAGUCCUGUGCUGGCCACAAGCUUGUUUUGACUGUGGCUUGGACUGAAGGCCUCAAGAGGCUUGUUUCAAUUGCAUUUUAAAAAACAAUCUCCCUAAUACAAUAUCCUAACAUUAUAAUUUUAUAAUACAUGCAGAAGAAUGGUAAAGAGAGAACCCUCAAUCAUAGUCAGAUGCAGCUUUAUCAUUAAGGUAGGUAAUUCAGGUGACUAACUUGACUUUUUUAUUUGGGAAUGGUUAAGCAUGACUUAUUCUGGCAUAUUAACAUUGCUCAAUGAAGAAAAUUGAGAAUAUUUUCCACACAAAUGUUAGGCCAUCAUUUAAAAAGUUCUUAUGUGAAACACUAUCAAGAAAUCCUGAAGUAUUCAAAUUGUUUUUUUAGAAGCUAAAUUCAGCUGCACUGGAUAUUCCCCAAAUCUCUUCCAAAUAACGGCAAAGACACAUAAUGACAGGAAUUUUAAUAGCUCUAGCGUGAAGCCAAAUGUGAACAUUAAAAACUGAAGGAAGGAUUACAAGAAUAGCUGUUAGCAUGGACUACACGGUUUUCAUGAGACUAAUUAAUUUUAAACAAAAAAUAUCCAGAGCUAUUAAACGCAAAUAUCAGAAAUGUUCUUUUUUCUCACUUACAUGACAUAUACUCAUCCUAUUGGUCUUGCCUCCUUGCCCUGAGUUCUCAGCUAUGGAGAACACCUAAAAUGCUUUUUGCUGAUACUUACAUGAAAUCUAGAACUCCACUAACUACUUAGGUGCAUUUUUACUACUUUGAAUUUGGAUUUCCUGAGACACACUUAAGAUUUUUUUUUUUUUUAAAAUCAGGUGCAUUUUAAAGGAGUACUUAAUAAUGAAAUAAAAUUAUUUAGUUAAAUUAGAGUAAUUUUGGUUGGAGACUAGAAUAAUAGGGGAACCAAUUUGGCUAUGACUUUCCCAUAUUUCUUAGACCAUCAAGCUAGGGAAAAAGACAACAUUUUGUGAAGUGAAAAAUUAUUUUGCUAAUUAAAAGAAUAUGAUUGGGGAGUACUCAAUCUUCGAGCAAAUGCUCUCAAAAAUGGAGUUUGCAAAUUUUCUAUAAAUUUAAAUUCUGUUAGCACAGCAUUUCUGAGAAAUUUGAAAAACAUGCCUUUAUUAUACUUAAAGGAGCAUCACUUCACUGUAACUUGGAAAUGUUUGCCUUCCAAAUUUAAAUUAAUAUGCAAUAAAGAAAGCAAUAAGUUUUCCUAAUAGGGCAGGAGGGGAUUUCAGGUGUCCCAAACUAGUGGCUCGUUGUGAUUUGCUAUGAAAACUCUACCAUGUCCUUUUCUGUCAGCCAGAAUUUUUCUUAAGACUGUUGUAAUUUACAUCACAGACAUGAAAGUCAGUCAUGUCUGUGACUGUGCUGAUAUGCAUACACCAAACAUGGUAGUGCUGGUUAAUAAGGCACAGCCUUCUGCACAGGAGCCUUUUGCCAAGUAAAAAUGAAUUAAUUAUAAUCUCAGAAAAUGUCUCUUUCAGUAUAAGGUUCAGGGGAAAGCUUUCAGGGUCAGCACAGUUUUUCUGUUCUUUCUCUGGGAAAGCUCCAUGCACUGCUCCUGCUCUUCGUGCCAUUUCCACUGCAUAGAUGACCUUGUUCUGUUCUUUCUGUGUGCUCAGCCUCACUGCCAAGUUAGGGGUUAACUGGCAGUGCUCACCAGGGUGUGAAUAAGACAAGAGAUACCUUCUUAUUCUGGUGUUUCAGUGCAUGUCUGAACACACCCAGGGUACAAAUUGUCUAGCUCUGCCCUGACAAGUAGGCAUUUUGAAUGAUUGUUCAGUGCAUCUAACCAAUUAAAUCAGAAAACCCCAAGAACAAAACCCUAAAUUGCUAAUCCAGUAGAGUUACUCAAAAAAUGGCAAAGAGUUCUGGAGAAGUACCAAGGACAAACUAAAAUGAUGAGUCUGUAAAUCCCAGAAGGAGAGGAGCUUCUCCCCAGUUAUCCCAACUGGUACAUUUCCCAGAGUGCCACAAUAUCCCAGUGAAGUGCUAGAGAUGGAGGAUCAAAAAAACCUUAAAUUAUGGCUCUUUGAUGAAGUAAAGUCUUUCAGACUCUGAUGAUGACGGAGCAGAGUGCAAGACAAGGGAGACAAAUGUCAGUUCCAUUGCUCUGGAACAUAUAAUCCAGCUCAUGGAGCAAAACUGGGAAAUACAUCAAUAGGACUUUCCUGUAAAUCCUGUUAGUAGGAACAGGGAUGUUAAAGCUGGUUCAGGAGAGAAGAGAAAAAAUAGAACAGCAGAAAGAGUAGCAAAAUAAAUACUUCAGCUCAGUGGCAAUUUUUUUUAAAUAUCACAUUUCCAAUCUUUGAACUAUUUUGGCAAUACCUUCUUUGACUUAUGUGUUAUUUGUCAGAGAGAGAAGAACUGAUCUCCAUAGCAACACAUUAUAUUAAAUGUAGGAAGCAGAAUCUAUCCAUCUAUCUAUCUAUCUAUAGAUAGAUAGACAUUUGAUCUGAAAAAAAUCUCUUGUUAGUGCUUCCACUAACACCAAUGACAAGACUCACAGAUUUCAGUUCAGUAAAGAGUAAAAUCAAGAAGAUAUGCAUAGAAGAAAAAAUGUUUGGAUAACCCUCUUGUUUUCAGGAGGGCUACACUGAA